GUUCAAAGGCACCUUCAAAAACUUCGUCAACUCUUCGAGCUUCAGCAGUAUGACAGGAUGUCUCUUGCAAUUCUAACCCCUAAAGAGGUCAAGAAUACAAACAACUAUCCAUCGCAUAUCAGGAGGCAUUAAAUUAAGCUCUUUACAGGAACAGCUGGAAAAGAAAAUCUACAGAUUUAUCAAAAUCCGUCUGACAACGCCAAUCUUCAUGAGCUUUGUUUGCUUCUCUAGGAAUAAAGUCACAGUCUGCGCAUGC